rnacentral:rRNA from 1 species
AUUGAACGCUGGCGGCAUGCUUUACACAUGCAAGUCGAACGGCAGCGCGGGCUUCGGCCUGGCGGCGAGUGGCGAACGGGUGAGUAAUACAUCGGAACGUGCCCAGUAGUGGGGGAUAGCUCGGCGAAAGCCGGAUUAAUACCGCAUACGACCUGAGGGUGAAAGCGGGGGAUCUUCGGACCUCGCGCUAUUGGAGCGGCCGAUGGCAGAUUAGCUAGUUGGUGGGGUAAAGGCCUACCAAGGCGACGAUCUGUAGCUGGUCUGAGAGGACGACCAGCCACACUGGGACUGAGACACGGCCCAGACUCCUACGGGAGGCAGCAGUGGGGAAUUUUGGACAAUGGGCGAAAGCCUGCUCCAGCAAUGCCGCGUGUGUCAUGAAGGCCUUCGGGUUGUAAAGCACUUUUGGCGGGAACGAAAAGGACUGUGCCAAUACCACGGUUCGAUGACGGUACCCGCAGAAUAAGCACCGGCUAACUACGUG